GUUCCGGUGGCCUAGUGGUUAGAGUGCUUGCCUCGUUUGCUGGAGGUAGCGGGUUCGAUCUCCAACCGAAUCA